GUGAAAUGCGUAGAUAUCAGGAGGAACACCGGUGGUGUAGACGGCUCUCUGGACCGUAACUGACGCUGAGACACGAAAGUGUGGGUAGCAAACAGGAUUAGAUACCGUGGUAGUCCACGCCCUAAACGAUGCAUAUUUGGUGUAGGUCAUUCAGUUGAUCUGUGCCGGAGCUAACGCGUUAAAUAUGCCGCCUGGGGAGUACAGUCGCAAGGCUGAGACUCAAAGGAAUUGACGGGGGCCCGCACAAGCGGUGGAGCAUGUGGUUCAAUUCGACGCAACGCGAAGAACCUUACCUGGGCUCGAACGGCUGGUCAACGGCGGUGGAAACACCGCUACUCCGCAAGGGGGUCCAGUCGAGGUGCUGCAUGGCUGUCGUCAGCUCGUGUCGUGAGAUGUUGGGUUAAGUCCCGCAACGAGCGCAACCCUCGUCCUGUGUUGCCACCCGCAAGGGGGCACUCGCAGGAGACCGCCAGCGAUAAGCUGGAGGAAGGUGGGGAUGACGUCAAGUCCUCAUGGCCUUUAUGUCCAGGGCUACACACGUGCUACAAUGGCCGGUACAAAGCGUUCCCAAGCCGCGAGGUGGAGGCAAUCGCAAAAAACCGGUCUCAGUUCGGAUUGCAGGCUGCAACUCGCCUGCAUGAAGCUGGAAUCGCUAGUAAUGGCAGAUCAGCACGCUGCCGUGAAUACGUUCCCGGGCCUUGUACACACCGCCCGUCACAUCACGAAAGUGGGUUGUACUAGAAGUCCGCAGGCUAACCCGCAAGGGGGGCAGCGGCCCAAGGUAUGACUCAUGAUUGGGGUGAAGUCGUAACAAGGUAACCGU
rnacentral:rRNA from 1 species